rnacentral:rRNA from 1 species
CCUACGGGAGGCAGCAGUUUCGAAUCAUUCACAAUGGGCGAAAGCCUGAUGGUGCGACGCCGCGUGAGGGAUGAAGGUCUUCGGAUUGUAAACCUCUGUCACCGGGGAAGAAACGCUUUGAGUUAAUAGUUCAAAGCCUGACUUAACCCGGAGAGGAAGCAGUGGCUAACUCUGUGCCAGCAGCCGCGGUAAUACAGAGACUGCAAGCGUUAUUCGGAUUCACUGGGCGUAAAGGGUGCGCAGGCGGCCAUGUGUGUGAGGCGUGAAAGCCCGAGGCUCAACCUCGGAAUUGCACCUCAAACUACAUGGCUAGAGCAUUGGAGAGGGUAGCAGAAUUCAUGGUGUAGCAGUGAAAUGCGUAGAUAUCAUGAGGAAUACCAGAGGCGAAGGCGGCUACCUGGACAAUUGCUGACGCUCAGGCACGAAAGCGUGGGGAGCAAAAGGGAUUAGAUACCCCUGUAGUCCACGCCCUAAACGGUGCAUACUAGGUCUUGGCGGAUUCGACCCCACCAGGGCCCAAGCUAACGCGAUAAGUAUGCCGCCUGAGGACUACGGCCGCAAGGCUAAAACUCAAAUGAAUUGACGG